GGGCAUCAAACCACCUAAAGGUGCUGUGGUAAAGAGCCACGGUGCUGAGCGUUUAGGAAAAGACUAUCCACGAGAUAGUACAGGU
rnacentral:autocatalytically_spliced_intron from 1 species